rnacentral:sRNA from 1 species
AGGAUCAUUACACAAUUAAAAUAUGAAGGCCCUUCAAACCGGCUGGAUUAUUUUUAUUCACCCUUGUCUUUUGCGCACUUGUUGUUUCCUGGGCGGGUUCGCUCGCCACCAGGACCACAUCAUAAACCUUUUUUGUUAAUGCAAUCAGCGUCAGUAUAACAAAUGUAAAUCAUUUACAACUUUCAACAACGGAUCUCUUGGUUCUGGCAUCGAUGAAGAACGCAGCGAAAUGCGAUACGUAGUGUGAAUUGCAAAAUUCAGUGAAUCAUCGAAUCUUUGAACGCACAUUGCGCCCUUUGGUAUUCCAAAGGGCAUGCCUGUUCGAGCGUCAUUUGUACCCUCAAGCUUUGCUUGGUGUUGGGCGUUGUUUGUCUUUGGUCCGCCCAAAGACUCGCCUUAAAACAAUUGGCAGCCGGCCUACUGGUUUCGCAGCGCAACACAUUUUUGCGCUUGCAAUCAGCAAAAGAGGUUGGUCAUCCAUCAAGACUACAUUUAUACGUUUGACCUCGGAUCAGGUAGGGAUACCCGCUGAACUUAAGCAUAUCAAUAAGCGGAGGAAAAGAAACCAACAGGGAUUGCCCUAGUAACGGCGAGUGAAGCGGCAACAGCUCA